UACAGAGGUCCCAAGCGUUGUUCGGAUUCACUGGGCGUAAAGGGUGCGUAGGUGGUCGGGUAAGUUUAAGGUGAAAGCUCCGGGCUCAACCCGGAAAUGGCCUUGAAUACUAUCCGGCUCGAGGGUUGGAGGGGGGACUGGAAUUCUCGGUGUAGCAGUGAAAUGCGUAGAUAUCGAGAGGAACACCAGUGGCGAAGGCGAGUCCCUGGACGACUCCUGACACUGAGGCACGAAAGCUAGGGGAGCAAACAGG
rnacentral:rRNA from 1 species